rnacentral:rRNA from 1 species
UACAGGGGGUGCAAACGUUGUUCGGAUUUACUGGGCGUAAAGGGCGCGUAGGCGGUCGUGACAGUCACUUGUGAAAUCUCCGGGCUUAACUCGGAACGGUCAAGUGAUACUGUCGGACUAGAGUACAGAAGGGGCAACUGGAAUUCUCGGUGUAGCGGUGAAAUGCGUAGAUAUCGAGAGGGAACACCUGGCGGCGAAGGCGGGUUGC